GGGUAACCUGCCCAGAAGCAGGGGAUAACACCUGGAAACAGAUGCUAAUACCGUAUAACAGAGAAAACCGCCUGGUUUUCUUUUAAAAGAUGGCUCUGCUAUCACUUCUGGAUGGACCCGCGGCGCAUUAGCUAGUUGGUGAGGUAACGGCUCACCAAGGCGAUGAUGCGUAGCCGACCUGAGAGGGUAAUCGGCCACAUUGGGACUGAGACACGGCCCAGACUCCUACGGGAGGCAGCAGUAGGGAAUCUUCCACAGUGGACGCAAGUCUGAUGGAGCAACGCCGCGUGAGUGAAGAAGGGUUUCGGCUCGUAAAGCUCUGUUGUUAAAGAAGAACGUGGGUGAGAGUAACUGUUCACCCAGUGACGGUAUUUAACCAGAAAGCCACGGCUAACUACGUGC
rnacentral:rRNA from 1 species